rnacentral:lncRNA from 1 species
UGGGAGAAGUAGGGCAGUUGUUUUCUGCAUCUUAUGUGGGAGGUUAAGGGUUCCACUAGCCCCUAUGUUUAUCCAUCCUAAAUGUUCACUUGAGGACAGAGGAAGUAAUCAUGGGAUAAGUCUUCUGCAGCAUUUGACCCACUGUCAGAUGGACCAAGAACAGAAUUUUUGCUGGCUUCCAUAAGCCUUCACUCUAAGAAAAGACGAUGAUGGGAUUUUGAGUCUCCUAUAACAAGCCCUUAGGAAAUGAAAACACGUGGAUGACUGCCCUGUGAUAUUUUGAUGAUCCUUAUAGUCAGAAGGAUGAAGCAAAUGAUGUCUCCAGAUAAAAUCAAUUUACCCCUAAGAUAUUCAGAAAAAAAUAGGAUUCCAAAGUCAAGAAAUCCAGAGCUACGAAUGGAAAUACUACACAUUUUUCUUUUUAAUUGGUGGUGGUGAGAUGGAGAGACCUCGUGUUAUGUAUGUGAAAUUAAUGAGUGGAAAGUAUGGUGAAGAGAGGGCACACAAAUGGACCAAGCAGUGCUGGAAAACUCAAACUUGGUGUCAGAAACAUACACUGAAAAUUUGACAGCAUAAGAUGUGCAAAAUUUUUGGCCCUUCUAUCAAUGCCAGAAAAGAUUUUAUUUUGAAAGUGUUCCCAGGAUGAACAUUUUAUAUAACACAUGACGCAUGCAGAGAACGCAGACGUUGGAUUAAAGAGUCAUAAGUUCAAACACCACAGCUCCAGACUUACUAGCCAUGUUCCCUUAAAUCCGUUUUCAACUUCUUUCAUUGUCACCUGUAAAAUGCUUUG